rnacentral:rRNA from 1 species
GAUGAACGCUAGCUACAGGCUUAACACAUGCAAGUCGAGGGGAAACGACAUUGGAAGCUUGCUUCCUUUGGGCGUCGACCGGCGCACGGGUGAGUAACGCGUAUCCAACCUUCCCGCAAGUAAGGGAUAACCCGUAGAAAUGCGGCCUAAUACCUUAUGUUUUCCUUAGAGGGCAUCUGAUGAGGAACAAAGAUCCGUCGCUUGCGGAUGGGGAUGCGUCUGAUUAGCUUGUUGGCGGGGUAACGGCCCACCAAGGCGACGAUCAGUAGGGGUUCUGAGAGGAAGGUCCCCCACAUUGGAACUGAGACACGGUCCAAACUCCUACGGGAGGCAGCAGUGAGGAAUAUUGGUCAAUGGACGGGAGUCUGAACCAGCCAAGUAGCGUGCAGGAUGACGGCCCUAUGGGUUGUAAACUGCUUUUAUAGGGGGAUAAAGUGUGCCACGUGUGGCAUAUUGCAGGUACCCUAUGAAUAAGGACCGGCUAAUUCCGUG